rnacentral:lncRNA from 1 species
CCCGCGCUCCUCCGGGCAGAGCGCGUGUGGCGGCCGAGCACAUGGGCCCGCGGGCCGGGCGGGCUCGGGGCGGCCGGGACGAGGAGGGGCGACGACGAGCUGCGAGCAAAGAUGUGCCCCGGGACCCCCGGCACCUUCCAGUGGAUUUCCUUGCGGAAAGGAUGUUGGCGGUCCCUGUGACCUGUGGAGACACGGCCAGAUCUGCCCUCCAGCCUGAUCUUUUGGCCAGAAGGAGAUUAAAAAGAUGCCCCUCAAGAUGGCUGUGCCUGUCAGCUGCAUGGAGCUUCGUUCAAGUAUUUUCUGAGCCUGAUGGAUUUACAGUGAUCUUCAGUGGUCUGGGGAAUAACGCUGGUGGAACCAUGCACUGGAAUGACACACGCCCGGCACAUUUCAGGAUACUAAAAGUGGUUUUAAGGGAGGCUGUGGCUGAAUGCCUCAUGGAUUCUUACAGCUUGGAUGUCCAUGGGGGACGAAGGACUGCAGCUGGCUGAGAGGGUUGAGAUCUCUGUUUACUUAGAUCUCUGCCAACUUCCUUUGGGUCUCCCUAUGGAAUGUAAGACCCCGACUCUUCCUGGUGAAGCAUCUGAUGCACGUUCCAUCCGGCGCUCAGCUGGGCUUGAGCUGACCAUACUCCCUGGAGCCUUCUCCCGAGGUGCGCGGGUGACCUUGGCACAUACAGCCAUCAUGAUGGUACUUUAAGUGGAGGCUGAAUCAUCUCCCCUUUGAGCUGCUUGGCACGUGGCUCCCUUGGUGUUCCCCUUUUACUGCCAGGACACUGAGAUUUGGAGAGAAUCCUGUUACACCUGGGAUUUAGGCACUUUCAAUCUGAAAAAAUACAUAUCCUUUCAGCACUCUGGACGGACUUGAGAACUGUCCUUACGUGACCUAAAGCUGGAGUAUUUUGAGAUUGGAGAAUUAAGGCCAACAGAGAUUUUGAGAAACACAUUGAAGGAUCUGUUAACACUUGAUAUACCCAAUAAAAGCAGUGGUUGUGCCAGUGCUGAUCUGUCUUGAUGUGAAUGUGAACAAUGGGAACCUGAGCUGAGCAGUUAAUGCUAGGGUGACAGAAACUGGACCUCUCCCAAGACAUGUGACAGAGUAAUACAGCAGCCAACUUCUUCGCCAAAUUAAAGUUUUACAAGAUUUAACCUGUCAUCAAGACCUGGGAUUUUGGUGAGCCAGUCUUGGUGCUCUGUGUUCACCUGGUUCAUCUGAGGAGCUGCAUCUACCCUGCCCAUGCCAUAGAUCCUGCCCUGUUUGCUUCUCCUGUUGCUGCUAGUGGACAUGAGAAGGACAGAAUAACGGGCUCCCAGAUUCACAAGCCCCACCAAGAGGAUCACCCCAGGAACGCUUGGAGGCUGAGGAGUUCACUGAGGCUACUGCAUCUUGAGACUCAGGAUGAAGACCCAGCUUGGGGCUGUCAAAGAGGCCUGAAGAGGCAGAACACCCCAGAGGAGCCUGGGGCCACCACCCAGCAUCACUGUGGGAAAACGGCAGCAGGAAAUGUCCUCUCGCCUGCGUGCUCCACCUCGGUCCACGCCUUCCCUCCUUCUGGAAGCCUUGCCUGACCACUGGCCUGCCCCUUCUAUGGGAAUCACUACUGACCUUGCAGCUUAUUAUAGACUUAUAUGUUUUUUGCAUGUCUGACACCCAUGACUCCACCUGGACCUUAUGGCUCCACCCAGAAGCAAUUCAGCCCAACAGGAGGACAGCUUCAACCCAUUACGAUUUCAUCUCUGCCCCAACCACUCAGCAGCAAGCACCUGUUACCUGUCCACCCCCACCCCUUCCCCCAAACUGCCUUUGAAAAAUCCCUAACCUAUGAGCUUUGAAUAAGAUGAGUACGAACUUCAUCGCCCACGUGGCGUGGCCGGCCUCGUGUCUAUUAAAUUCUUUUUCUACUACAA